UACAUAGGGGGCAAGCGUUGUCCGGAUUUAUUGGGCGUAAAGCGAGCGCAGGCGGUUGAUUAAGUCUGAUGUGAAAGCCCCCGGCUCAACCGGGGAGGGUCAUUGGAAACUGGUCAACUUGAGUGCAGAAGAGGAGAGUGGAAUUCCACGUGUAGCGGUGAAAUGCGUAGAUAUAUGGAGGAACACCAGUGGCGAAGGCGGCUCUCUGGUCUGUAACUGACGCUGAGGCUCGAAAGCGUGGGGAGCGAAC
rnacentral:rRNA from 1 species